rnacentral:rRNA from 1 species
CACCGCGGUUAUACGAGAGGCUCAAGUUGACAGACAACGGCGUAAAGAGUGGUUAAGGAAAAUACCAAACUAAAGUCGAACAUCCUCAGAGCUGUUAUACGCUUCCGAAGAUAUGAAGUUCAACCACGAAAGUGACUUUACUACCCCUGAACCCACGAAAGCUAAGGAA